CACGCACGCGCACACACACGAUGCUGUCCAGCCUUCGCCCAUCCUUGUGGAUUUAAAAGGGCAGAGGCCUACGGCGGGUGGAACAGUUUUUCAAAGGACUGUUUGGGGUGGUUCUUUCCUAAGAGCUGGCCCCAUGCAGUGGUAUCUGGUGACUCUAACAAUGGGCUCUCUGGAAGUGAUGAGGGAGAGGAAGGGAGAGAGGAAGGGAGUGAGAGA